GCAGUAAGCCAUGCUUUAGCCUCUGACCUGUGCUCCAAUUUUGGCACAAUGAUUUCUGCCAUGUUCUCCAACAGAAAAGGAACUGCAUGUGUUUUUCUGCCUCUUCCAGAUGUAUGUCAUAAAAGUUGGAUGCCUUCCUUUUAAGACAUUUGAAUGGAUCACCAAAUAAUUACCUACUUUUCUCUCACAACUCAGAUAAAUAAUUAAAAGGAGAUAUACA
rnacentral:lncRNA from 1 species